rnacentral:lncRNA from 1 species
CAGCACACCAAUUUGUUGGGUCAGCAUGUCCAUGUCAAUGCGUUGAGCACAGGGCUGUGAAUCCUGUAAAGAAGAACAAGACAUACGGCUACUGUGGGCACCAGACCUGCGUCCCAAAUGGGGCGUCUGCAUCCCACUAAAACUUCCCUCAUAGUCACUGUCAUCAUCAUCACCUACAGCUCAUGCUCUUGCACGUGUGGUUGGUCCCGUGAAAGGUCCUAAUUGGCUAGAGGGGGGUGAAUAGCCUAAUUUAAAAUUCUACAAAGACACUAGAGCAAGAAAAUUAGUAAAACAAAUGGCGAAAUGCGGUUUGCUCUAGCUCUACUUAUUAGGCAAGCCACCUAUUUGCAAUUCUAAUUCUUUAUUAUCUCUAUGCCACACAAAUACUAUGCCUCUAAAUUUAAACUAGUGAGCAAGCUAAAAGAGCUAUCAAGAACAAUAAAUUAAGCUAUGCUACUCUAUUUGAUUUCUACCACCACUACACAAAAUAUGUUGCAAGAAAAAAAAUAAUGCAAAGAUGGAUAGAGAGCUUUUUAUACCAACGUUGGAGAGAAGCCAAUCACCAAGAUGAUAUCCAAUCAAUCACAAUUUCAAUAAGUGAAUACCAAUAAAUACCAAGAAUGCCAAUAUAUCAAUUCAAUCCAAUUCACCGGGAGACAAAGAUGACACAAUUAUUUUUCUCCCGAGGUUCACUUGCUUGCCAGCAAGCUAGUCCCCGUUGUGUCCCCCGCACCACGUGGUUCGGUGGCUAAUCGGUAUCACACACCGAGCCUAUCAAAAGGCGCCACAAGAACCUACCAAUGGAUUAUAGUUGAAUGACACGAGCAAUCCACUAGAGUUGGAAUUAGGCACUCCGCCGGGGAACCACAAUAACCCCUCACAAAUCACCUCUUGAUUGGGGGCAGACACAAUCACCAAAUCCCCUCACCAAUCACCAAUCACCAACCGUCUAGGUGACGGCAAUCACCAUGAGUAAUACGAAAUCCUCAAUUGCAAUCACAAUCUAGUGCCACAAAUAUGAAUCACAAAAUGCACAAGAACACUAGAUUUUACUACCUCCUCUCAUGAGCAUGAACCAACCAUGGAGAGGGAGAGGAGAUGAAGGGGAUCCUCUUGGACCUCUCAAAUCGAUCUCUAGAGCACUAUCCUUCACUUGAAUGGAGCACAAAUCAAUGGAGUGAAGGGAUGGAGGAUUGGGGCUCUUUUCUUCUAGGGUUUGCAAGAGGAAGAGGAAAGGAGCAGCUCUGUUUUCUUUUCUGUUGAAUGGCCGAGCACUGAGCCUGGGCCGAAGGCCUCGGUCUUUUACGGGAUCAGCAGCAAGGAGCGGGGUCACGAGCGUCCACACCUGCAAGCCCCCUGACGCCGUGACCCCACCAGCAAUGGGUGGGAAGCCAGCGGCCCGAUGCGCUCCUGGGAAGCUUCCCGGAAGCUCCCUGGUCAGCUGCAUGCAAGUGAGGGGCCCCACGAGAGAAAGCAAACAGAGCAACAGCAGGCAACGACUCUUCGAAUUUUUCUCUGCCUUGCAAGCGAGCGGCGGUAGCAGCAGCCCAUCGGCAGACACAACAGCUAGCACCACUCCACGCAAAGCAUGCAAGCACUUGUAAAACCUUUCUGACCACACGAAACCUGUAGAGCCAAAAAGGUGGAUGCAUGCAUGCACACGCAUACACCAUGCAUGCUACAGGAAGGAGUGUUUUUAUGUCAUGCAAGCAGGCUCUUUUUUUUCUUUCCAUACGCUUUUUAAGUACUAACUUUUCAUGAGUACCAAAAAUAAAUUAAGCACUUAAGUUAGCAUAUCACAAAUAUUUUCUUAGGAUUUUUCAUGCAAUUUCACCACAUCACUAAGCGCAAGAAAUAUAUGCAAAUGAGACUCAACUUAGUGGCACUAAAUAACCAUUGCAAUUAAAGAUUUCCCCUCUUAAUAGUACGGUUAUCUAUCCUAAAUCCGAUCACGCACUCUAUUGCGUCUUGACCGGCAAAAACAAAUAUCCUAUUUUAUACCUUUGCCUUGAGCCCUUCUUCUUCUUUGCAAGAUAUGAGCACUUGACCAUAAUUUCCGGUCAUCUCCAUCAUAUUUGAGUGCCAUCUAGCUCGACCACAAUAUGAACCAACCUAUCUCAUCUAUCACUUAGAGCCAAAGGUUAGUUCUCAUAGGUUUCAUCAAUUAUCCAAAACCAAACUAGAGCUUUCAAUCUCCCCCUUUUUGGUAAUUGAUGACAACCUCCACAAAGAUAUGAAUUAAAUUCAAUUUGAAUUUGAGUUGCUUGUCCAAGCAUUAAGAUCAUGAAAAAGAAUUGGCAAUCACCACAAAUUCGAUUUUGGUAGUACUAGCUCCCCCUACAUAUGUGCUUCAUGAGUUUGGUACAAUUAUUCACAUAUGUAUGGAUAUGAACUUUGGGAGAGUAGUAGCUACCAAAAUGAUGCUAAGGUGUAAGAGAUGGACCUUUGAAGCGUGAUACCAAUCGGAGUGCACCAUUUACACCAUCCUUAGCACCAUGAAGCUAGAUAUCACUUGAUAACCAUUUGAUAGAUCAUGUAAAAUCACAAACACUAGAUACCUCAUGAGAUCAACAUUAUAAGCAAGGUUCUAGAAUGACUUGAAUGAACAACAAAUUUAUAACAUAUCUAGCUAUCACCUAUGCAUGCUAGUAUUUCAAUCAUCAUCCAAGUUCUAUUACUAGCAUACACCACACAAGCAUGUAUAUGGAGUUUUAAAACUUGUGCAAUGCAAGCAAGCAUAUGGAUAUGCACAUACAAAUGCAACAAAUAAGUCCAUGAGCUUGCUCCCCCUACUUGUGUGCUCAAUUUUAAUUGAUUCCCUUCCUUUCUCAAAUCUUUUCUCUCCCCGUAUCUUUGUGACUUUCUCUCCCCCUUUGUCAUCUAUUACUAAAAAGUUAUGGUCAAGUUGUGGAGAGUAAAUUAGUCAAGUUCUUUUGAUGGGGUGGAUUAGGUUCAAUUUUUACAAUUUUGGUUCAAUCUAGACCACUUGCCUAAGAUAUUUAUCUCGGUUUGAGCCAAAGACAAGCUUCUUCACACCUCAUGCAAGGGUUAUCUUGCCUAUGUUGAGAUAAACACUUAUAGCUCAUUUUCUAGAUUAAACACUAGGAUUGCAAGCCCACAAACAUGUCAUAUGCUACCACUAGAUCAUAUCAAGCAUAGAAACAAUAGUGGUACCAUACAUACAUCAAAUUCAUUUGAUUUUCAUGAAUGCUCCUAAAGAACCACAUGUCAUGUCUAUAUGUACUAAACAUGUCCUUAGCAAAGCAUGAAUGGUAUGUCAUACAAUUUUACCUUUGCUUUGUUGAAGGAGAGGCAUGUCAUAUAAGUGGGGUGCAUUCAACUCAUAUUUGAGAAAUCAAGGAUGUUCAAUUCAUUCCUUAGCUUGCAAAACCUCUUCUCAUCAAGUGGCUUGGUGAAUAUAUCGGCAAGUUGAUCAUCGGUGCCAACACUCUCAAUUCAAAUAUCACCCUUUUGUUGAUGAUCCCUUAUGAAAUGGUGCCUAAUAUCAAUGUGCUUUGUUAUUGAAUGUUGAACCGGAUUGUUGGUUAACUUGAUAGCACUCUCAUUGUCACAUAGCAAUGGCACUUGUUUAAAUUUGAUCCCAAAGUCAUCCAAAGUUGCUUUCAUCCAAAGCAAUUGUACACAACAACUACCAGCACUUAUGUAUUCGGCCUCGGCGGUUGAAAGAGCCACACUAUUUUGUUUCUUUGAUGACCAUGAAACAAGUGAUCUUCCCAAUAGUUGACAUGUGCCACUAGUGCUCUUCCUAUCAACCUUGCAUCCCGCAUAAUCGGAGUCGGAAUAACCAAUCAAUACAAACCCCUUUUGGAUACCAAAGUCCAACAUCUUGUGUAUGUUUCAAGUACCUCAAUAUUCUCUUUGUUGCCUUGAGAUGACUCUCUCUAGGUGAGGCUUGGAAUCUUGCACACAUGCAUACACUAAACAUGACAUCUGGCCUUGAAGCGGUCACAUAGAGUAAGCUUCCAAUCAUAGACCAAUAUAAUUUUUUAUCCACCAUGUUGCCACUAGCAUCAUUAUCAAGAUGACCAUUUGUUCCCAUAGGAGUGCUAAUAGACUUUGCAUCUUGUAACCCAAACUUCUUUAUCAUGUCCCUUAUGUACUUGCCUUGACUCACAAAUGUGCCAUGCUUCAAUUGCUUGAUUUGAAGACCAAGGAAGUAACUAAGUUCACCAAUCAUGGACAUCUCGAUUUCAUUAGCCAUCAUCUUUCCAAACUCCUCACAAAAGUCUUGGUUGGUUGAUCCAAAAAUGAUAUCAUCAACAUAUAUUUGCAACACAAACAAGUCUUUGCCUAUCAUUUUGGUGAAGAGAGUAGUGUCAACCUUACCCAUUUUGAACCCUUUAGAGAGUAGGAAAUCCCUCAACCGCUCAUACCAUGCUCUAGGUGCUUGUUUCAAACCAUACAAUGCCUUCUUCAACUUAUAAACAUGGUUGGGUUUCUUGUCAUUUUCAAAACCGGGAGGUUGUUCAACAUAAACCAAUUCAUUGAUGUAGCCAUUGAGAAAUACACUUUUCACAUCCAUUUGAUAUAACUUGAUAUUGUGGGCACAAGCAUAAGCUAAUAAGAUUCUAAUUGCUUCCAAUCUUGCAACCGGUGCAUAUGUUUCACCAAAGUCAAGACCCUCUACUUGAGUGUAACCUUGAGCCACUAGUCUUGCUUUAUUUCUCACAACUAUGCCAUCUUGAUCUUGCUUGUUUCUAAAAACCCAUUUGGUACCAAUCACAUUAUAAUUCUUUGGCCUUUCAACAAGUUCCCAUACUUGGUUGCGAGUGAAAUUAUUUAAUUCUUCAUGCAUAGCAUUAACCCAAUCAACAUCCAUCAAAGCUUCUUCAAUCUUAGUUGGCUCAAUAGAUGAUACAAAUGAAAAGUGUUCACAAAAGGAUGCCAACCUUGAUCUAGUUUGCACACCACUUUGAAUGCCUCCAAUGAUUUGAUCUAAGGGAUGGUCUCUUGCAAUAUUUGAUGGUUGGAGCACUUGAACUUGAUUGCUUGUACUAGAUUGAUCAUUUGAUUUAUUCUCAUGAGAUGAACUAGCAUCAUGUUGAUCUUGCACUUGAGAGCCACUAGUUUGUACAAUAGGAGAAGAGAGCACUUUAUCUUUGUCAUCUUGAAUAUCAAUAAUUUCUCUAGGCCGAAUAUCACCAAUAUCCAUAUUCUUCAUUGCAUCAACUAGUUGAGAGCCUCUCACAUCAUCUAAAUUUUCUUCUUCAUUUUGAGAGCCAUUUGUUUCAUCAAAUUCAACAUCAUGAACCUCCUCAAGAAUACCACUAGUCAAGUUCCAAACUCUAUAUGCUUUGCUUGUAGUUGAAUAAACAAGUAAGAAUCCUUCAUCACAUUUCUUGUCAAACUUUCCCAAUCUAGUGCCUUUCUUCAAAAUAUAGCAUUUGCAACCAAACACUCUAAAAUAUGCAAUGUUGGGCUUUCUUCCAUUCAAUAGCUCAUAUGGUGUCUUCUCUAACAUAGGAUGAUAAUAGAGUCGGUUGAUAUAAUAACAUGCCGUGUUGAUGGCUUCGGCCCAAAAAGAUUGACUCACAUUGUAGUCACUAAGCAUAGACCUUGCCAUAUCAAUCAAAGUUCUAUUCUUCCUUUCUACCAAGCCAUUGGUUGAGGUGUCUACUUGGGAGAAAAUUGAUGUUUGAUUCCAUAUUUAUCACAUAAUUCAUCAACUCUUGUAUUCUUGAAUUCACUUCCAUUAUCACUUCUAACUGUCUUGAUGGUGGUCUCAAAUUCAUUGCAACAUCUCUUGACAAAAGAUUUAAAUUUGGCAUAUGUAUCACUUUUGUCAACUAGAAAGAAUACCCAAGUAUAUCUAGUGAAAUCAUCCACUAUCACAAAGCCAUAUUUAUUUCCACCAAUGCUAGUAUGUGUUGUUGGCCCAAAUAAAUCCAUGUGCAAUAACUCAAAUGCUUUGCAAGUGCUCAUGAUGCCCUUCUUAGGAUGAGUAUUUCCAACUUGUUUGCCGGCUUGACAAGCACUACAUAGUUUAUCUUUCUCAAAUUCAACAUCUUUCAAGCCUCUAACUAGAUCAUGCUUCACUAGUUUGUUCAAUUAUUUCAUUCCAACAUGACCAAGCCUUCUAUGCCACAACCAACCCAUGCUAGAUUUAGAGAUCAAACAAGUUGACAAUUGAGUUUCACUAGCAUUGAAAUCAACAAGAUAGAGGUUCUCAUAUCUAAAUCCUUUGAAUAUCAAGUUAGAGCCAUCUACACUUAUGAUCUCUACAUCAUCCACACCAAAUAUGCACUUGAAGCCAAGAUCACAUAAUUGAGAACCUAUAGCAAAUUGAAGUUUAAGCUCUCUACUAGCAACACAUUUGAUAUGCUCAUGUCAUUGGAUAUAGCAAUCUUACCAAGCCCUUUAACUUUGCCUUUGCCAUUAUCACCAAAUGUAAUACUUUCAAUAUCAUUGCCACUUGUAUCAAUAGAAUUGAACAUUCUUGAUUCACCGGUCAUAUGUUGAGUGCACCCACUAUCAAGAACCCAAUGCCUUCCUCCGGCUUUAUAAUUAACCUACAAUAAAAUCAAUGUUUCUUAGGUACCCAUACUUGCUUGGGUCCUUGGAGGUUAGUGACUAAGCUCUUUGGCACCCAAAUAGCUUUCUUCUUUGAGCCCACAAUUGGUAUACCAAUAAACUUAGCUUUCACACCAUUCUCACCCUUGGUAAGCAAAUAACAAGAAUCAAAGCAAAUGGAAGGUACAUUAGCAUUUUUCUUGUUCUUGUUCAUUUUAUUGCAAUUAUGCUCUUGGUGCCCAACUUGCUUGCAUCUAUUGCAAAACCGACCAUUGCCCUUCACAAAGCUAGCCUUGUGAGUUGCAAAGGCCGCCUUGCAUUUCUUGGGGGUAUAGCCCAAUCCCUCUUUGUUGAGAGAAAAUCUUUGGCUACCCAAGCACUUUAGCAAGCGGGCCUCACCACCAUAGACCUUGCCUAAGGCAUGAGUGAGCUCAUCCACCUCUCUCUUGAGAGUCUCAUUCUCAACCAUUAGUGAGGUAUCACAUGUGAAACCAUCACUAGUAGUGUAGGUAGAGUUGGUGGUGGUGGAUGAAGAGCUACAAGAAGGGUUAGUGGGUGAUACAAUUAUAGGUUGAUAAAAAGAUUCAUCAAUUAUAUCGCAAGUUACACCCAUAUCACAUACUACAACAUCCUCUUUCUUACUUUGCUCUACAAGGAGUGAGCUUUUUCAAGCUUGGAAUGAGCCUUUUGAAGGUCCUCAUGGUCUUCCUUUAGACUCUCAUGAGAAGCCUCUAGCUCACUAAUGGAAUGCUCAAGAUCUUUAACUUUCUUGAGUAGAGCCUUACACUUCUUACUUUUAGAACUAAUAAGAUAUUCGGCUUGUUCUAACAUGUCCAUGAGUUGCUCUACACUAGGCUCAUCAUCAUCAUUAUCACUAGCAUUAGCAUCACUAUCAUUAUUAUUAUCAUCACUAUCAUCAUAUUUUACCUUAGGGCCCUUGGCCAUGAAGCAUGAAGGUGAAUCAAAUAAAGAUGGCUUGUUGUUGAUAGCAAUAGAAGCCAAUGCCUUCUUCUUGUAUGUCUUCCUCUCAUCAUCACUAGAGUCAUCAUCAUCAUUAGAAGAAGCAUCACUAUCCCAAGUCACAACAUAUGAGCCUCCCUUCUUAUUCUUGGUGAAGCUCAUCUGCUUUUCUUUCUUCUCCUUCUUCUCAUUCUUGUCCUUCUUGCUCUUCUUGUCAUUUUCAUCAUCACUAGCAAGAGGACACUCCGCAAUAAGAUGGUCGAUGCCAUUACAUUUGUAGCACCUCCUUACAAAGUUCUUGCUCUUGGUAUUGUCUCUUCUCUUUCUUGCACCAUAGCCCUUUUUCUUCAUGAAUUUUCCAAAUUUGCGCACAAAGAGAGCUAGAGCUUCAUCUUCACUAUCCAUAGUUGAUCCUUCAUCAUCACUUGAUUCUUCUUUCUUUGCCUUUCCCUUGCACUUGUUCUUGGAGGAUGAAGCUUCGGCCUUGAAAGCAACACUCUUCUUUUUCUUGUCAUCCUCCUCUAAAUAGAAUGGUUCUCAAUGUUCUAAAUCUUUUAGGCAAACACAUCAAGAACUUGUGAAUAAAAUCCUCAUCCUUUGUCUUCUCCAGAAUUGUUUCAUCAUCUUUCAUCUUGAAAUUGUUGAGUUGAUUCUUGAGCAUAUACAUUUUGGCACUCUUCACAACUUUUGUGCCCUCAUAUGUUUCCUCUAGUCUUGUCCACACUUCACUAGCUCUCUCAAGAUCUUUUAUUUGCUCAAACACUUUUGAAUCAAUGCCAUUGUAAAUAGUGUUAAGAGCCAUAGUGUUGCAUGUUUUGUUUGCCCUCUCAUUGUCGGUGGGGUUAGUUGGAUCAAGAAUAAUAAAAUCAUGCUCGGUCACAUUCCACACUCUAUCAUUGAUUGAACCAAGGUACAUUUUCAUCUUUCUCCUCCAAUAAUCAAAAGAACUAGUGCCAUCAAAGAAAGGUGGUUUGCCCCCCACAUGGUUGAACACAACUUGAGCCAUAUUUUGCACCGAAGCAUGUUAAGCCUUGAUUAAAACGGUGACCACGGCUCUGAUACCACUUGAAAGGUCCUAAUUGGAUAGAGGGGGGUGAAUAGCCUAAUUUAAAAUUCUACAAAGACACUAGAGCAAGAAAAUUAGUAAAACAAAUGGCGAAAUGCGGUUUGCUCUAGCUCUACUUAUUAGGCAAGCCACCUAUUUGCAAUUCUAAUUCUUUAUUAUCUCUAUGCCACACAAAUACUAUGCCUCUAAUUUUACACUAGUGAGCAAGCUAAAAGAGCUAUCAAGAACAAUAAAUUAAGCUAUGCUACUCUAUUUGAUUUCUACCACCACUACACAAAAUAUGUUGCAAGAAAAAAAAUAAUGCAAAGAUGGAUAGAGAGCUUUUUAUACCAACGUUGGAGAGAAGCCAAUCACCAAGAUGAUAUCCAAUCAAUCACAAUUUCAAUAAGUGAAUACCAAUAAAUACCAAGAAUGCCAAUAUAUCAAUUCAAUCCAAUUCACCGGGAGACAAAGAUGACACAAUUAUUUUUCUCCCGAGGUUCACUUGCUUGCCAGCAAGCUAGUCCCCGUUGUGUCCCCCGCACCACGUGGUUCGGUGGCUAAUCGGUAUCACACACCGAGCCUAUCAAAAGGCGCCACAAGAACCUACCAAUGGAUUAGAGUUGAAUGACACAAGCAAUCCACUAGAGUUGGAAUUAGGCACUCCGCCGGGCACCACAAUAACCCCUCACAAAUCACCUCUUGAUUGGGGGCGGACACAAUAACCAAAUCCCCUCACCAAUCACCAAUCCACCAACCGUCUAGGUGACGGCAAUCACCAAGAGUAAUAAGAAAUCCUCAAUUGCAAUCACAAUCUAGUGCCACAAAUAUGAAUCAAAAAAUGCACAAGAACACUAGAUUUUACCACCUCCUCUCAUGAGCAUGAACCAACCAUGGAGAGGGAGAGGAGAUGAAGGGGAUCCUCUUGGAGCUCACAAAUCGAUCUCUAGAGCACUAUCCUUCACUUGAAUGGAGCACAAAUCAAUGGAGUGAAGGGAUGGAGGAUUGGGGCUCUUUUCUUCUAGGGUUUGCAAGAGGAAGAGGAAAGGAGCAGC